rnacentral:rRNA from 1 species
AUUGAACGCUGGCGGCAUGCCUUACACAUGCAAGUCGAACGGUAACGGGCCUUCGGGUGCCGACGAGUGGCGAACGGGUGAGUAAUACAUCGGAGCGUGCCCGAUCGUGGGGGAUAACGAGGCGAAAGCUUUGCUAAUACCGCAUACGAUCUACGGAUGAAAGCAGGGGACCGCAAGGCCUUGCGCGGACGGAGCGGCCGAUGGCAGAUUGGGUAGUUGGUGGGAUAAAAGCUUACCAAGCCGACGAUCUGUAGCUGGUCUGAGAGGAUGAUCAGCCACACUGGGACUGAGACACGGCCCAGACUCCUACGGGAGGCAGCAGUGGGGAAUUUUGGACAAUGGGCGCAAGCCUGAUCCAGCCAUGCCGCGUGCAGGAUGAAGGCCUUCGGGUUGUAAACUGCUUUUGUACGGAACGAAAAGCCUUCUUUUAAUACAGGAGGGUCAUGACGGUACCGUAAGAAUAAGCACCGGCUAACUACGUG